rnacentral:rRNA from 1 species
UGGUGGAGCGAUUUGUCUGGUUAAUUCCGAUAACGAACGAGACUCUAGCCUAUUAAAUAGUUCGCCGAUUUUUCGAGUCGGCGUCAACUUCUUAGAGGGACAAGUGCCGUAUAGGCACGCGAGAUUGAGCAAUAACA